UACGUAGGGGGCAAGCGUUGUCCGGAAUCAUUGGGCGUAAAGAGCGUGUAGGCGGCCCGGUAAGUCCGCUGUGAAAGUCCAGGGCUCAACCCUGGAAUGCCGGUGGAAACUGUCGGGCUGGAGUCCGGAAGAGGCGAGUGGAAUUCCCGGUGUAGCGGUGAAAUGCGCAGAUAUCGGGAGGAACACCAAUGGCGAAGGCAGCUCGCUGGGACGGUACUGACGCUGAGACGCGAAAGCGUGGGGAGCAAACAGG
rnacentral:rRNA from 1 species